UCUGCUCCUAAAGUCAUCACAGGUGUGGCUGCUGUGUCAUGUUUCUGUCAGUAGGCGGCAGAGAGGAGAGAGGCUAAGUCUGUGCUCAGUGUUCUGACCUGUGAACAUCUGAAUGAUUACCUGCCUACCUAA